rnacentral:rRNA from 1 species
UGCGUAGGUGGCGCUGUAAGUGGGGUGUGAAAUCCCGGGGCUUAACUCCGGAACUGCAUUCCAUACUGCGGUGCUUGAGGACUGGAGAGGAGACUGGAAUUUACGGUGUAGCAGUGAAAUGCGUAGAGAUCGUAAGGAAGACCAGUGGCGAAGGCGGGUCUCUGGACAGUUCCUGACACUGAGGCACGAAAGGGCCAGGGAAGGCAAACGG